AGUGAAUGCUGGCGGUAGGCCUAACACAUGCAAGUCGAACGGCAGCACAGUAAGAGCUUGCUCUUACGGGUGGCGAGUGGCGGACGGGUGAGGAAUACAUCGGAAUCUACUUUUUCGUGGGGGAUAACGUAGGGAAACUUACGCUAAUACAGCAUACGACCUACGGGUGAAAGCAGGGGAUCUUCGGACCUUGCGCGAUUGAAUGAGCCGAUGUCGGAUUAGCUAGUUGGCGGGGUAAAGGCCCACCAAGGCGACGAUCCGUAGCUGGUCUGAGAGGAUGAUCAGCCACACUGGAACUGAGACACGGUCCAGACUCCUACGGGAGGCAGCAGUGGGGAAUAUUGGACAAUGGGCGCAAGCCUGAUCCAGCCAUACCGCGUGGGUGAAGAAGGCCUUCGGGUUGUAAAGCCCUUUUGUUGGGAAAGAAAAGCAGCAGGUUAAUACCCCGCUGUUCUGACGGUACCCAAAGAAUAAGCACCGGCUAACUUCGUG
rnacentral:rRNA from 1 species